CUGUAGAUCGUCUUCUGAGUCUCUCUAGAUCACUGGGAAAUUGAGCUUGAGUUCGGCUGGUCGGAUAGAGACGAAUCUCGGAUCAAGGCGAGGUCGACGUUUUCAAGGAAAACGAUCCCGAAGCUGACUGGCUGGCUGUCUGCUCCUCGAGGAUUUUCAACUUGGAGUGCUCCUCGAGGAGUUUUAUAGAGUUGGGUCUCAUGACUGGCUGCACUUGCUUGAGGUAAACGUUUAUAUCUCUCAGCAUAUAUCUUCGAUUAAGGCGAGGUCAACUUCUCCGAAAAGACGACUCUUUGGGCGAUCCGUAGAUGUAUUAACCCUUACGAGAUUCCCUGUGAUUUGCCGGGAAAUCGGCCCCGAGGCGAACUGGUCUAUUCGG